rnacentral:rRNA from 1 species
AGAGUUUGAUCCUGGCUCAGGACGAACGCUGGCGGCGUGCUUAACACAUGCAAGUCGAACGGAAAGGCCCUUCGGGGUACUCGAGUGGCGAACGGGUGAGUAACACGUGGGUGAUCUGCCCUGCACUCUGGGAUAAGCCUGGGAAACUGGGUCUAAUACCGGAUAGGACCGCAUGCUUCAUGGUGUGUGGUGCAAGGCUUUUGCGGUGUGGGAUGAGCCCGCGGCCUAUCAGCUUGUUGGUGGGGUAAUGGCCUACCAAGGCGACGACGGGUAGCCGGCCUGAGAGGGUGACCGGCCACACUGGGACUGAGAUACGGCCCAGACUCCUACGGGAGGCAGCAGUGGGGAAUAUUGCACAAUGGGCGCAAGCCUGAUGCAGCGACGCCGCGUGAGGGAUGACGGCCUUCGGGUUGUAAACCUCUUUCAGUAGGGACGAAGCGAAAGUGACGGUACCUACAGAAGAAGGACCGGCCAACUACGUGCCAGCAGCCGCGGUAAUACGUAGGGUCCGAGCGUUGUCCGGAAUUACUGGGCGUAAAGAGCUCGUAGGUGGUUUGUCGCGUUGUUCGUGAAAACUCACAGCUUAACUGUGGGCGUGCGGGCGAUACGGGCAGACUAGAGUACUGCAGGGGAGACUGGAAUUCCUGGUGUAGCGGUGGAAUGCGCAGAUAUCAGGAGGAACACCGGUGGCGAAGGCGGGUCUCUGGGCAGUAACUGACGCUGAGGAGCGAAAGCGUGGGUAGCGAACAGGAUUAGAUACCCUGGUAGUCCACGCCGUAAACGGUGGGUAAUGGGUGUGGG